rnacentral:rRNA from 1 species
CCUACGGGAGGCUGCAGUGAGGAAUAUUGGUCAAUGGACGAGAGUCUGAACCAGCCAAGUAGCGUGAAGGAUGACUGCCCUAUGGGUUGUAAACUUCUUUUAUAUGGGAAUAAAACGUUCCACGUGUGGGAUUUUGUAUGUACCAUAUGAAUAAGGAUCGGCUAACUCCGUGCCAGCAGCCGCGGUAAUACGGAGGAUCCGAGCGUUAUCCGGAUUUAUUGGGUUUAAAGGGAGCGUAGGUGGGUUGUUAAGUCAGUUGUGAAAGUUUGCGGCUCAACCGUAAAAUUGCAGUGGAAACUGGCAGUCUUGAGUACAGUAGAGGUGGGCGGAAUUCGUGGUGUAGCGGUGAAAUGCUUAGAUAUCACGAAGAACUCCGAUUGCGAAGGCAGUUCACUGGACUGCAACUGACACUGAGGCUCGAAAGUGUGGGUAUCAAACAGGAUUAGAUACCCUAGUAGUC